rnacentral:rRNA from 1 species
GGGUAAAACUGGUAAUUGGGGCUAAGUCGUAACAAGGUAGCCGUACCGGAAGGUGCGGCUGGAACACCUCCUUU